UGGGGAAUAUUGCGCAAUGGGGGAAACCCUGACGCAGCAACGCCGCGUGAGUGAUGAAGGUCUUCGGAUUGUAAAACUCUGUCUUCAGGGACGAUAAUGACGGUACCUGAGGAGGAAGCCACGGCUAACUACGUGCCAGCAGCCGCGGUAAUACGUAGGUGGCAAGCGUUGUCCGGAUUUACUGGGCGUAAAGAGUAUGUAGGCGGAUAUUUAAGUCAGAUGUGAAAUUCCCGGGCUUAACCUGGGAGCUGCAUUUGAUACUGGAUAUCUAGAGUGCAGGAGAGGAAAGUGGAAUUCCUAGUGGAGCGGUGAAAUGCGUAGAGAUUAGGAAGAACACCAGUGGCGAAGGCGACUUUCUGGACUGUAACUGACGCUGAGAUACGAAAGCGUGGGGAGCAAACA
rnacentral:rRNA from 1 species